rnacentral:rRNA from 1 species
GACGAACGCUGGCGGCGUGCCUAAUACAUGCAAGUUGAGCGCUGAAGGUUGGUACUUGUACCAACUGGAUGAGCAGCGAACGGGUGAGUAACGCGUGGGGAAUCUGCCUUUGAGCGGGGGACAACAUUUGGAAACGAAUGCUAAUACCGCAUAAAAACUUUAAACACAAGUUUUAAGUUUGAAAGAUGCAAUUGCAUCACUCAAAGAUGAUCCCGCGUUGUAUUAGCUAGUUGGUGAGGUAAAGGCUCACCAAGGCGAUGAUACAUAGCCGACCUGAGAGGGUGAUCGGCCACAUUGGGACUGAUACACGGCCCAAACUCCUACGGGAGGCAGCAGUAGGGAAUCUUCGGCAAUGGACGAAAGUCUGACCGAGCAACGCCGCGUGAGUGAAGAAGGUUUUCGGAUCGUAAAACUCUGUUGGUAGAGAAGAACGUUUGUGAGAGUGGAAAGCUCAUCAAGUGACGGUAACUACCCAGAAAGGGACGGCUAGCUACGUG